UACGAAGGGGGCUAGCGUUGUUCGGAAUUACUGGGCGUAAAGCGUUUGUAGGCGGUUGAACAAGUCAGUGGUGAAAGCCCAGGGCUUAACCCUGGAAUUGCCAUUGAAACUGUUCAGCUAGAGAGUGUUAGAGGAAAGUGGAAUUCCUAGUGUAGGAGUGAAAUCCGUAGAGAUUAGGAGGAAUAUCGAUGGCGAAGGCAGCUUUCUGGGACAUUUCUGACGCUGAGAAACGAAAGCGUGGGUAGCAAACGGG
rnacentral:rRNA from 1 species